rnacentral:lncRNA from 1 species
CCAUAUUGCUUAUAGAGUCAUACUUUUGUUCUAGCUAUCAAGUUGUAAUCUUUGAGUUGUAAGUAAAUAAAAGUGUGAUGAUUUGCAUUAUUAGUGCAUUGUAUCUUGUGAGAAAAAGGAUUGUGGAAGCUAUGAUUCCCUCACAAGUUGGGAUGAGUCUCCGUACUUUACAUAAGAAAGAGGCCAGCGAAGCCCAUAAAUAAACAAAAGAGGCCAUAGAAGCCCAUCCAAAAAGGAUAAAAAAAGAAAAGAAAAA